GAUGAACGCUGGCGGCGUGCUUAACACAUGCAAGUCGAACGGAAAGGCCCCAGCUUGCUGGGGUACUCGAGUGGCGAACGGGUGAGUAACACGUGGGUGAUCUGCCCUGCACUUUGGGAUAAGCUUGGGAAACUGGGUCUAAUACCGAAUAUGACCACUUCUUGGAUGUUGUGGUGGAAAGCUUUUGCGGUGUGGGAUGAGCCUGCGGCCUAUCAGCUUGUUGGUGGGGUAAGGGCCUACCAAGGCGGCGACGGGUAUCCGGCCUGCGAGGGUGUAGGGACACAUUGGGGCUGAGAUACGGCCCAGACUCCUACGGGAGGCAGCAGUGGGGAAUAUUGCACAAUGGGCGAAAGCCUGAUGCAGCGACGCCGCGUGGGGGAUGAAGGCCUUCGGGUUGUAAACUCCUUUCGCUAUCGACGAAGCCACUUGUGGUGACGGUAGGUAGAUAAGAAGCACCGGCUAACUACGUGCCAGCAGCCGCAGUAA
rnacentral:rRNA from 1 species